AAAGUAUUCAGAAUUCAGCCAAGACUGCUGUGCCAGUUAAAUCUGCUCAGGAUGGGGAUGGCCGACAAAAAAUUAGAGUCAUUAAAAAUAAAGAUGGAAUAUCAGAAGUUCAUGGCUUAAAAGCCGGUCAAAAAUUGGUUGAAGGCCCGGAUGGUAAAUUUCGGUUGGUCACUCAAAACCGUCCUGACUCAUACGCGCCCGCAUAUGAACCAGGGUUGACUCCC